UUAGCUCAAUUUGGCGUGUUAGACUCAUAAUCGUUAGGUCCACAGUUCAAGUCUGUGAGGGGCCACCA
rnacentral:tRNA from 1 species